CAUGAUUUAGUGAUCAAGAGAGUAACUUUUCAUUUUUUAGCUAGCGAGUUCGGGAAGGUGGAAGCCGAAAUAAAGAAGAAAAGUGAAGCGCACUUGUGAAAAUUUGCUUAGCAAACGGCAUCUACCGUUAUCAGAUAAAGUGGGUUCGAUUUGUCGAACAAUCAGAGUGGUACCGCGGGAAUUCUCGUCUCUAGU
rnacentral:ncRNA from 1 species